GCGCAUGGCGCAGCUACCAUGCAAGUCGAGCGGUAACAGAGAGUAGCUUGCUACUCUGCUGACGAGCGGCGGACGGGUGAGUAAUGCUUGGGAAUGUACCUUAUGGUGGGGGACAACAGUUGGAAACGACUGCUAAUACCGCAUAAUGUCUUCGGACCAAAGCGGGGGACCUUCGGGCCUCGCGCCAUAAGAUCAGCCCAAGUGGGAUUAGCUAGUUGGUGAGGUAAUGGCUCACCAAGGCGACGAUCCCUAGCUGGUUUGAGAGGAUGAUCAGCCACACUGGGACUGAGACACGGCCCAGACUCCUACGGGAGGCAGCAGUGGGGAAUAUUGCACAAUGGGCGCAAGCCUGAUGCAGCCAUGCCGCGUGUGUGAAGAAGGCCUUCGGGUUGUAAAGCACUUUCAGUAAGGAGGAAAGGUUGGAUGUUAAUAGCAUUCAGCUGUGACGUUACUUACAGAAGAAGCACCGGCUAACUCCGUGCCAGCAGCCGCGGUAAUACGGAGGGUGCGAGCGUUAAUCGGAAUUACUGGGCGUAAAGCGUACGCAGGCGGUUUGUUAAGCGAGAUGUGAAAGCCCCGGGCUCAACCUGGGAACUGCAUUUCGAACUGGCAAACUAGAGUGUGAUAGAGGGUGGUAGAAUUUCAGGUGUAGCGGUGAAAUGCGUAGAGAUCUGAAGGAAUACCGAUGGCGAAGGCAGCCACCUGGGUCAACACUGACGCUCAUGUACGAAAGCGUGGGGAGCAAACAGGAUUAGAUACCUGGGGGUAGUC
rnacentral:rRNA from 1 species